AGUGAACGCUGGCGGUAGGCCUAACACAUGCAAGUCGAACGGCAGCACAGUAAGAGCUUGCUCUUACGGGUGGCGAGUGGCGGACGGGUGAGGAAUACAUCGGAAUCUCCUUUUUCGUGGGGGAUCACGUAGGGAAACUUACGCUAAUACCUCAUACGACCUACGGGUGAAAGCAGGUGAUCUUCGGACCUUGCGCGAUUGAUUGAGCCGAUGUCGGAUUAGCUAGUUGGCGGGGUAUAGGCCCACCAAGGCGACGAUCCGUAGCUGGGCUGAGAGGAUGAUCAGCCAAACUGGAACUGAGACACGGCCCAGACUCCUACGGGAGGCAGCAGUGGGGAAUAUUGGACAAUGGGCGCAAGCCUGAUCCAGCCAUACCGCGUGGGUGAAGAAGGCCUUCGGGUUGUAAAGCCCUUUUGUUGGGAAAGAAAAGCAGCAGGUUAAUACCCCGCUGUUCUGACGGUACCCAAAGAAUAAGCACCGGCUAACUUCGUG
rnacentral:rRNA from 1 species